AAACUCAAAUGAAUUGACGGGGACCCGCACAAGCGGUGGAUGAUGUGGAUUAAUUCGAUGCAACGCGAAAAACCUUACCUACGCUUGACAUGCCAGGAACUUUCCAGAGAUGGAUUGGUGCCCGAAAGGGAACCUGGACACAGGUGCUGCAUGGCUGUCGUCAGCUCGUGUCGUGAGAUGUUGGGUUAAGUCCCGCAACGAGCGCAACCCUUAUCCUUAGUUGCUACGCAAGGGCACUCUAGGGAGACUGCCGGUGACAAACCGGAGGAAGGUGGGGAUGACGUCAAGUCCUCAUGGCCCUUAUGUGUAGGGCUUCACACGUCAUACAAUGGUCGGUACAGAGGGUCGCCAACCCGCGAGGGGGAGCCAAUCCCAGAAAACCGAUCGUAGUCCGGAUUGCAGUCUGCAACUCGACUGCAUGAAGUCGGAAUCGCUAGUAAUCGCGGAUCAGCAUGUCGCGGUGAAUACGUUCCCGGGUCUUGUACACACCGCCCGUCACACCAUGGGAGUGGGUUUUACCAGAAGUAGUUAGCCUAACCGCAAGGAGGGCGAUUACCACGGUAGGGCUCA
rnacentral:rRNA from 1 species